ACGGUCCUCUCCGCCCUAAAAGAGAAUCCUUAUUCGGGAUCGGAAGCUCAAUGCCCGAACCUACACUUGUCUCACUUCUAUGAAGCUUGCGACUAUACCGAUCCACCGGGGGUGAGUGAAUCGGACAAAAGACUGAGGUUAUUCAAGCAUUCUCUCACCGGCCGUGCUAAAGAUUGGUUGGAUACGAUACCAGCCGGAAUGAUUGAGACUUGGAGACAG
rnacentral:lncRNA from 1 species